rnacentral:rRNA from 1 species
CCUACGGGCGGCAGCAGUGGGGAAUAUUGGACAAUGGGCGAAAGCCUGAUCCAGCCAUGCCGCGUGUGUGAAGAAGGCCUUCGGGUUGUAAAGCACUUUCAGUGGGGAAGAAAGCCUUGGGGCUAAUACCCUCGAGGAAGGACAUCACCCACAGAAGAAGCACCGGCUAACUCCGUGCCAGCAGCCGCGGUAAUACGGAGGGUGCGAGCGUUAAUCGGAAUUACUGGGCGUAAAGCGCGCGUAGGCGGUCUGGAUAAGCCGGUUGUGAAAGCCCCGGGCUCAACCUGGGAACGGCAUCCGGAAGUGACAGGAAGAGUGGAAGGAGGGGAAGGAAGAAUCCCCGGGGGAGCGGGGAAUGGCGAAGAGAGGGGGGGGAAGACCAGGGGCGAGGGGGGCCUUCGGGACUAACACGGCCGCUGGGGGGCGAAGGCGUGGGAAGCAACCAGGAUUAGACCCCCCAGAGGUC